rnacentral:rRNA from 1 species
UACAGAGGGUGCGAGCGUUGUCCGGAAUCACUGGGCGUAAAGGGCGCGUAGGCGGCUUUGCAAGCGUGCGGUGAAAGCUCGGGGCUUAACUCCGAGUCUGCCGUGCGAACUGUGAGGCUUGAGUCUGGUAGAGGUCGAUGGAAUUCCGGGUGUAGCGGUGGAAUGCGUAGAGAUCCGGAAGAACACCAGUGGCGAAGGCGACUACCUGGCCUAUUCUUGACGCUGAGGCGCGAAAGCUAGGGGAGCAAACGGG